AUGGCUCAGGAUGAACGCUAGCGACAGGCUAACACAUGCAAGUCGAGGGCAGCACGGAGUAGCAAUACAACUGGUGGCGACCGGCGCACGGGUGAGUAACGCGUAUGCAACCUACCUAUCAGAGGGGAAUAACCCGGCGAAAGUCGGACUAAUACCGCAUAAAACAGGGGCACCGCAUGGUGAUAUUUGUUAAAGAAAUUCGCUGAUAGAUGGGCAUGCGUUCCAUUAGGUAGUUGGUGAGGUAACGGCUCACCAAGCCGACGAUGGAUAGGGAACUGAGAGGUUGGUCCCCCACACUGGUACUGAGACACGGACCAGACUCCUACGGGAGGCAGCAGUGAGGAAUAUUGGUCAAUGGGCGGGAGCCUGAACCAGCCAAGUCGCGUGAAGGAAGAAGGAUCUAUGGUUCGUAAACUUCUUUUGCAGGGGAAUAAAGUGCAGGACGUGUCCUGUUUUGUAUGUACCCUGAGAAUAAGGAUCGGCUAACUCCGUGCCAGCCGCCGC
rnacentral:rRNA from 1 species